UACGUAGGGGGCUAGCGUUGUCCGGAAUCAUUGGGCGUAAAGAGCGUGUAGGCGGUCCGGUAAGUCCGUUGUGAAAGUCAGGGGCUCAACCCUUGAAUGCCGGCGGAUACUGUCGGGCUAGAGUCCGGAAGAGGCGAGUGGAAUUCCUGGUGUAGCGGUGAAAUGCGCAGAUAUCAGGAAGAACACCCGUGGCGAAGGCGGCUCUCUGGGACGGUACUGACGCUGAGACGCGAAAGCGUGGGGAGCGAACAGG
rnacentral:rRNA from 1 species